rnacentral:rRNA from 1 species
AGUCGAGCGGGGAAAGGUAGCUUGCUACCUAACCUAGCGGCGGACGGGUGAGUAAUGCUUAGGAAUCUGCCUAUUAGUGGGGGACAACAUUCCGAAAGGAAUGCUAAUACCGCAUACGCCCUACGGGGGAAAGCAGGGGAUCUUCGGACCUUGCGCUAAUAGAUGAGCCUAAGUCAGAUUAGCUAGUUGGUGGGGUAAAGGCCUACCAAGGCGACGAUCUGUAGCGGGUCUGAGAGGAUGAUCCGCCACACUGGGACUGAGACACGGCCCAGACUCCUACGGGAGGCAGCAGUGGGGAAUAUUGGACAAUGGGCGUAAGCCUGAUCCAGCCAUGCCGCGUGUGUGAAGAAGGCCUUUUGGUUGUAAAGCACUUUAAGCGAGGAGGAGGCUACUUAGAUUAAUACUCUAGGAUAGUGGACGUUACUCGCAGAAUAAGCACCGGCUAACUCUGUGCCAGCAGCCGCGGUAAUACAGAGGGUGCGAGCGUUAAUCGGAUUUACUGGGCGUAAAGCGUGCGUAGGCGGCUUUUUAAGUCGGAUGUGAAAUCCCUGAGCUUAACUUAGGAAUUGCAUUCGAUACUGGGAAGCUAGAGUAUGGGAGAGGAUGGUAGAAUUCCAGGUGUAGCGGUGAAAUGCGUAGAGAUCUGGAGGAAUACCGAUGGCGAAGGCAGCCAUCUGGCCUAAUACUGACGCUGAGGUACGAAAGCAUGGGGAGCAAACAGGAUUAGAUACCCUGGUAGUCCAUGCCGUAAACGAUGUCUACUAGCCGUUGGGGCCUUUGAGGCUUUAGUGGCGCAGCUAACGCGAUAAGUAGACCGCCUGGGGAGUACGGUCGCAAGACUAAAACUCAUAUGAAUUGACGGGGGCCCGCACAAGCGGUGGAGCAUGUGGUUUAAUUCGAUGCAACGCGAAGAACCUUACCUGGUCUUGACAUAGUAAGAACUUUCCAGAGAUGGAUUGGUGCCUUCGGGAACUUACAUACAGGUGCUGCAUGGCUGUC